AGUUUUAUAUUUGCCCACACAUGGGAUCAAUAGGGUACCAUAACGAGGAAGAUCGUAGCGGAAUACGAAAGAUUAUUUAUCGCAUAUAUUAAU
rnacentral:rRNA from 1 species